rnacentral:rRNA from 1 species
AAUGAACGUUGGCGGCAUGGAUUAGGCAUGCAAGUCGGGGGAAUCCCAGCAAUGGGGGAACCGGCGUAAGGGGCAGUAAGGCAUGGGUACCUACCUUGGGGUUCGGGAUAGCCAUCAAAGAUGGUGGGUAAUACCGGAUGACGUCGUGAGACCAAAGAUUUAUCGCCCUUAGAGGGGCCCAUGUGAUAUUAGGUAGUUGGUGGGGUAACGGCCCACCAAGGCGAAGAUGUCUAGCGGGUGUGAGAGCACGACCCGCGCCACUCGCACUGAGACACUGGCGAGACACCUACGGGUGGCUGCAGUCGAGGAUCUUCGGCGAUGAGCGCAAGCUUGACCGAGCGAUGCCGCGUGAGCGAUGAAGGCCUUCGGGUUGUAAAGCUCUUUAGUGGGGGAGAAAAGCCGCAAGGUGUGAUCUAUCCCAAAAAUAAGCACGGGCUAAGUUCGUGCCAGCCGCCGCAGUAA